GGAGACUGCAUUUUUUUAAGACCAUAAAGGUCAUGGAACUAUACAAGUUCUCAUUUGGGGCAAGGGAAGAAUUUUCCCUAAUUAAAAACUUUUAGAGAAACCACGAGAGACAGAAGAUUUAUGCUGGUUUUGCCCGACCCCUAUCCCGACUCUGGUUUCCAGGGACCUAACAGCGCUUCAGAAGAGCCAACUGGUGAGGAGACUUUUUCACUGAAGAGACUAAACCAUUCUCAACAUUCAAAGGAAGUGAAGCAUACAAUGCUAUUUGCUCCUGUCUCCUGCAGAGCUGCCACUAGCAAGGUCAUUAAUCCCCAGAGUAACUCCAAGGGUAACCACGAUGCAAAACUGUUAUGACAUCUGAAGGUGGCAAAUAAGACUCUACUGCUGAAGACACCACAUACUUCAGACACAGGACUUGGGGAGAGAAAGCUGCCAAUGACCUAGAAGCCUCUUCCUUGAGACUAUCUUUCGCAGUCUCUGAAAGGCACCGUGUCAGCUGCAAAAGCAGAAAUCAAUAGUCCUACACAGAUGUGAACCCUAUAAAUGACAGUAAUAAACAGUAUGUCAAGA
rnacentral:lncRNA from 1 species